rnacentral:snRNA from 1 species
AUACUUACUUGGCGUCGGAGAUGCCCUGAUCGUGGAGGGGGUUCUCCUGGUCGGAGGCUGUUUAUUGCACUUCGGGCUGCUGGCGGUUGCCACUUCCGCAAAGUGCGGUUGGUUGGGGCGCAUAAUUUUUGUUUAUGCGUUUAGAAAUUUUAGAUCGAG